rnacentral:snoRNA from 1 species
UGGGCCAGUGAUGAGGAGUCCGUGCUCUCUGACCCUUGAUUCCCUGGGGAAUGAGGGUUAGGGAUGGGAUCUGAAAUCUUAGUGGGGGUACCUGAGACCUGGCUCUCAACUGUAAGACAAGAAUCAAUAGCACUGCUGGCCUUGCCUCUAUUGCUGCUGCUGUCCCCAGUUCCCAGCAGCUGCCUACAGGGGAGUCCACAGGUGGGGACCAAAAUAGGUCUAGGCAUGGGUCAUCUAGGUUCAACCUUGGAUCUGACA